rnacentral:lncRNA from 1 species
CCGAAUCCAAACUUUGAACUUCUAUAACUCAAUAACCGAGCCAAGGACCAGAACCAUGAAUAAAAUCAAUAAAAAGACCUCAAACAUUCAAACAACCAUCUUGGUUUUAAUCCAUAUUGAACAAAAAUCCAGAAGAAGAAACUAGCUUUUUUUUUUUUAUUUCUAUCCAUAAAUUUCCUGUUUGUUAAAGAUAGGGUGGGGUCUGUCGAGAAUAAGUGACUAGCGGCUGAGAGAUUUUUUGUUGGUAUGGGAUUUUUUGUUCUUUUUUAAGCUGUUGCGCUACUCUCCCUCUUUUCCUCUAGGGUUCGUCUCUGUUUUAUUGUAUUUUGCGCUCCUAGCAGCCUUGGAUCUUCAAGGUUUUGGUUCUUUGCCAUUUUUGGCUUUUUCUUGAUUCUGAGGAGAUAAACAGCGGAUUCUCCUAGAGUCUAGGGUGUCUUUUUGUUAUGUAGAGAGGGAUUUUAG